UGAGCAAUCUGCCCUUCUCAUCGGAAUAAGCGUUGGAAACGACGUCUAAUGCCGAAUACGACCUCCUUUCGCAUGAUCGGAGGUGGAAAGCUCCGGCGGAGAAGGAUGAGCUCGCGGCCUAUCAGCUAGUUGGUGUGGGUAAUGGCCCACCAAGGCGACGACGGGUAGCCGGCCUGGAGGGGGUGACCGGCCACACUGGGACUGAGACACGGCCCAGACCUCCGUACGGGAGGNAGCG
rnacentral:rRNA from 1 species